rnacentral:rRNA from 1 species
ACCUCGGAUCAGGUAGGGAUACCCGCUGAACUUAAGCAUAUCAAUAAGCCGGAGGA